rnacentral:lncRNA from 1 species
AAGAACUGUGUAUUCGGUGUGUGUGUGUGUGUGUGUGUGUGUAUUGAGCGUACCUUUUUAGUAAUAAGGGAGCGGCCUUUAUAUAGGAGGAGACUGGAGAUUCGUGUGAGGAUAAUUAGGAGAGAUUUCUGGGGGGCUAUGUUUGGGAAGUAUAUCCCUGAGAUACCUGAGAGAUAAUAGGAGAAUGCCAUAUGGAGAGCAACCCAUAAUCAUAGGGAUCAUGAUUGAUCCUUUUUUCUUGUGGAGGUGGAAUUCUCGCAGAGAUGGUUUCUGAUCUGGUGGAACAGUGCUGGAGAAUGACUCUCGGGUAGAAUCCCUAUGAAGAUAGAACUUUUAUAGAGACAGUCUCUAAUAUGGUGGGAUGAAUGACCUCGCCUACAUGGCGAGCUGGAAGAACGUUCAUUUUUAUACAGGCGAGGUGAUCCAUUGGCGAUAACACUAUGGGCGACCAGGAAUACUAGAAAGCUAGUGACGUAAUCAUUCAGGUGACGUGCUUAACUUAAAAUAUAAAUAGGCAGUUAUUUUAUCCCACAUCAAUAGGCCCCUACUCGAAAUGGCGAGAUAAAACAAGGGAUUUACGAGUAAUUAGUGGGAAAUUACCUUGAGGUAACGUGGACAUGUAAUAAUGAAGUGUUUCCGAAAGUAGACACAUGGGUGAUGGUAAUAAAUGUCGAGAUGAUGGCGCGGGCAAAAUGGUGGCGCGUUAAUGUUGCUUUCAGCGGGAAAGGCAGUGCAUUAAUGUUGCUUUUGGCGGGAAAGGCAGUUAUUAGCUUGGGAGUCGAAACGUCGCACGAUCUUGGACGUUGGAAAAGAUAUAUCUCAGCCCUUGAUAUCUCCUAUAUAUAGGGGGCCCACCCAUUCAUUUGUACUUUUUUGUUUGUGCUACCAAACUCUGCUCUCGCUCCAAUUUUCUCCAUGCCCUCAUUCGUGGUCGCCUUCUCGUCUUUUAUCUCAGUAAGUCUUCACCUGCCUUAGAUUUUACUUUCAUUUUCGUAGUUUAUGUCCCGUAGGCCUGAAGUAGCUAACUCAGAAGAAUUAGACUCCCCAACUUCUUGGAUGUCCGAUCACUUAGGAGAGGGAUCAUCAUAUAUGACAGACGAGGUGAAUCAAUCUCCCAAAUCAACUAUGGAGGGUUCCCCGAUCCCCGAGGUAGACCCUCUGGUUGCCAUUCACCCUUCAGUAUAAGAGAAAAACAAUAUCCUGACCCUGGAGGAGCUGGAUCUUCUUAAGAAGACAUAUUCCUUCCCCCCCGGUAUACAGAUUAGACUCCCCGAGGAGGGAAAGACCAUAGUUUCAGCUAGCCCUGAUGAGGUAGCCUUUUAAGAGGCCGCCCUGUUUCCUGCGGGACAUCCGUUUCCAUUUUACCCUCCAGUAGGUUAAUUUUGCAGUUUUAUAAUAUUUGCCCCGCCCAACUCGUCCCCAACACGUGGAAAAGCAUCGUUUGCUUGAUGGCAUUGUGGCGAGUAUAUAAGUACGUCUAUCUCUUUUCGAGUUUAGGAACCUGUUUAGUCUUAAUAGUAAUCCUAAAACGGAUCAAGGCUUGUUGUACUUUAAGGCGAGGUACAAAAAGACUCUGCUCAGAGGAUACCCCAGCAAUGUCAAGGGGUGGAAGAGCAAGUUCUUCUUCAUUUCCGUCAAUGAGUGGGAGUUUCUUGAAGGUUCAUAUCAGGAAGGUGUUCCAAGGGUUUUGAGGACAUGUGGCGUUUUAGGUCGGUCUUAAAGUUUGUUUGUCAUUCUUGCUUUUACUCAACGUUCGAAGGGUUAACAUUCCAUUUUGUAUGUUUUUCAGCUGCAACAACCCGCCUAGGCUAUAUGGAGACGAGCACAAAAUCUUCGACCAGAUUUUUAGCUCAGUAGAGAGUAAAGAACGCUAUUCAGUCCUAGUGCUCCUUGACUCAAAAUCAUUUCACCGCGUCUUUAUUUCUCCUGGGUCCAUGGCGUCUGGGACUGUAGGCGAGGAACGUCUCGAAGGGGAAGCACCGAGCUCCUCGAGCGACACGGGUGAGUCCCACCCUUCCCAUGAUGAACACAUUCAGCGAGACAACCAUUCCCGAGAUGAAUUAGUAGAAUUCCUAGGAGUCAUUAGGACAGAACUAAGGAGGAUUUUACCUCAUGUCCCCGACUUAACCUUGUUGAGGUGGUCGAAGGGAAAAGUUUGCGAUCCUAUAUUAGAUCCUUUACUGAAUGCUCUGAGCUCAGUCUCGGGUUCAACGUUGGAAUCUUGUUUGGAUUCAGGGCUAACCCCUGAACUUAAAUUGGAUGGUACUACCUCUUGUCUAUUUUAAGUGUUUAUUUUUUGCUGCAUCUAAUACGUGUGUUAUUUUGCAGCCAUGUCGAAGAGAAUCAGCCUCAAAAAGCUCAGCGAAAAGGUUGAAAAAUCGAAGAUUGGAGGUUCCACGCCUGCUAAAGGGGUGGUCAUUGGCGAAAAGUGGCCAAGAGACAAUCACCCUAGCUCGCUCAGCAAGAAGGGCAAAGUCGUGGAUAGCCCCAAAGGAAAGAAGGCUACACCCGUACUCGAGCCUAUAAAGAAAACGACUAGGUCGGUUGAUGUUGGUCCGAAGGCCACUUCUUCGAAGCCUGGGGAGGGCAGCUCACCAUCCCUGGGCACUAUGCUCGGACCUACAACUUCUAUUCUCAGCAGCCCUUCCAUAGCCGAGAACAUUUUGCA